rnacentral:rRNA from 1 species
GACGAACGCUGGCGGCGUGCCUAAUACAUGCAAGUAGAACGCAGUUGCGAACGGGUGAGUAACGCGUAGGUAACUGCCUGGUAGCGGGGGAUAACUAUUGGAAACGAUAGCUAAUACCGCAUACUACCAGAUGGACCUGCGUUGUAUUAGCUAGUGGGGGAGGUAACGGUUCCACAAGGCAACGAUACAUAGCCGACCCGCGGGUGUGGUCGGCCAAACCGGGACUGAGACACGGCCCAGACUCCUACGGGCGGCAGCAGUAGGGAAUCUUCGGGAAGGGGGGGAACCCUGACCGGGCAACGCCGCGGGAGUGAAGAAGGUUUUCGGAUCGUAAAGCUCUGUUGUUAAGGAAGCGGUACUUAACCAGAAAGGGACGGCUAACUACGUGCCAGCAGCCGCGGUAAUAC